UACGGAGGGUGCGAGCGUUGUCCGGAAUCACUGGGCGUAAAGGGCGCGUAGGCGGCAUGCCAAGCGUGUGGUGAAAGCCCGGGGCUCAACCCCGGGUCGGCCGCUGCGGACUGGCGUGCUCGAGCACUGUAGGGGCGGGUGGAAUUCCGGGUGUAGCGGUGGAAUGCGUAGAGAUCCGGAAGAACACCGGUGGCGAAGGCGGUUAGCUGGGCAGUGCUGACACUGAGGCGCGACAGCGUGGGGAGCAACAGGGAUAGAA
rnacentral:rRNA from 1 species